rnacentral:rRNA from 1 species
CCUACGGGAGGCAGCAGUGGGGAAUAUUGCACAAUGGGGGGAACCCUGAUGCAGCGACGCCGCGUGAAGGAAGAAGUAUUUCGGUAUGUAAACUUCUAUCAGCAGGGAAGAAAAUGACGGUACCUGACUAAGAAGCCCCGGCUAACUACGUGCCAGCAGCCGCGGUAAUACGUAGGGGGCAAGCGUUAUCCGGAUUUACUGGGUGUAAAGGGAGCGUAGGCGGCAGUGCAAGUCAGAAGUGAAAGCCCAAGGCUCAACCAUGGGACUGCUUUUGAAACUGUACAGCUAGAUUGCAGGAGAGGUAAGUGGAAUUCCUAGUGUAGCGGUGAAAUGCGUAGAUAUUAGGAGGAACACCAGUGGCGAAGGCGGCUUACUGGACUGUAAAUGACGCUGAGGCUCGAAAGCGUGGGGAGCAAACAGGAUUAGAUACCCGGGUA